AAAGAAACCAACAGGGAUUGCCCCAGUAACGGCGAGUGAAGCGGCAAAAGCUCAAAUUUGAAAUCUGGCCCUUUCAGGGUCCGAGUUGUAAUUUGCAGAGGAUGCUUCGGGUGCGGCCCCGGCCUAAGUUCCUUGGAACAGGACGUCAUAGAGGGUGAGAAUCCCGUCUUUGGUCGUCGGCCCGCGCCCGUGUGAAGCUCCUUCGAAGAGUCGAGUUGUUUGGGAAUGCAGCUCUAAGCGGGUGGUAAAUUUCAUCUAAAGCUAAAUAUUGGCCGGAGACCGAUAGCGCACAAGUAGAGUGAUCGAAAGGUUAAAAGCACCUUGAAAAGGGAGUUAAACAGCACGUGAAAUUGUUGAAAGGGAAGCGCUUGCGGCCAGACUCGGGUGCGGGGUUCAGCGGACGCGUGUCGUCCGUGCACUCCCCGUUUCCCGGGCCAGCAUCAGUUUCGACGGCCGGUCAAAGGCCUCUGGAAUGUGUCGUCUCUCGGGACGUCUUAUAGCCAGAGGUGCAAUGCGGCCUGUUGGGACUGAGGAACGCGCUUCGGCUCGGAUGCUGGCAU
rnacentral:rRNA from 1 species